UGAAAAUAUGCCAGCUCUGCUGCUUCGUUAUUAUCAUGUCUGACAUUUAUGAUGGUGAUGCGAAUCGUGCAUCCGUAAUCAGAUGCAGAUGAUUGACCAAACAAGAGUGACUGCCUCAAAGUUGUCUGCCCAUUUCCUACAACUGCAGUUGUCAUGACAACCCAUGAAGGAUAUGUGGAAGUGAAAGACAUCAUACACUGCGAUAUGGAUGGAGGUGACUCUGUAGACGGUGCCCGAGGUGGUGGGUCCCCCAAACAUCAACUCAUGGUCAGUCUUUCCGAAUUCUCCGAGUCAAUGAUCGAUGAUGGAGCUGAUAACAUCAGUAUGGAGGUACAGAUGGGAGAAGAGGGUUCCCGACAUCCCAGUGAGAUCAGUUCCAUAUCAUACCAGAAUCUCCUUGAGGAUGGCGAAGCAGCAAGCACGUCCUUAUCCCGCCGGGAUAGUGAGGACAGCAAUGACUCCUAUCAGCCGGACGACCCUGAAGGCAUUGCUGACUUUCCUCCUGAAGACAUAGAACGGUUUGAGUCUUCUGAUCUUCCUCUCUCAGAGCAUUAUGCUGUUGCCAGGAAGUCGGAAUCAACGAACCAGAGUUCUAAUAAGGCUGCCAAACAGUCUGAUUUCCAACCCGAGGAGAAUGGAGAAGAGAAUUUGAGCGUGUCUUCAGACAAACAUUAUGACAAUGUUCCCAUUAUGAUCACUGGUGAAGAAAAUGAUGCGGAUGUGUCUGAAAAUGGAUCCUAUGAUAGCAAGACUAAUGUGAUACUUCGAAGGAAGGCUUCAUCGUCUGAAAAUGUUAGAGAGAUCAAUGAUGUAAUGGAUGCAGUGAAAAAGAGAAACAGUCUUGAAAUCCGGAAUAAUAUUCCCACAAUUGGGCAGAUAAAGACUUAUGAUAAGGAUAUUGACGACAUAACAUAUAACGCUCAGGGGGCCAAGCCAAAAAUCCGAAAACAGUCCCCUGGCCUUGCUCGAAGAGUUUGUGAUCAUCCCAUGGGUUCUGGGAGUGAUAGAGAAGGUUCAAGCUCAGAGCGGGAGAUGGAGAGGAUAGAAAAUCAUUUAGAGCCAAAUUUACCUCGUGCAUUAGGAUUGGAACUGUCAGGGGAGCCAACAGUUGGGGUUAUAGAAAAUGGCAAGGAUGGCAUUCAAAUUAUAGCGCCUAGGAAAAAUCUGAACAUUGAGAAUGAGUAUGACUAUGUUAAGUAUGCUCGUGUACAGAAGGGUAAUUCAUAUGUAGGCAUGAGGCUAGCAUAUUCAAGUUCCAAUGAUUCUUUGAAUUUGAAACGAAACAGUAUGAACAGUCAGGACAGUGGGUCCUUGGACAGUUCCAGAGAAACCUCACCAGAGAAGAUUCUUCAACAAAAGAUCUUGCAGGAUUUAGGAGUACCUGCACCAACUGAGCGAGUGAAUGAGGACUCUCUCACUGAGAUUCCACUGAAUGGGACUGAUGGUAAUAUGGUUGAUGACCGCAAGAGCUUUACAUUGUCGCCUGAGAACACAGAGUGUGAUAGUGUGGAGGUAGAAAGUGUGAUGUCGGAUGGUGACCGGUCAACGCUAGGCAUGCCCAUGGUGGAUGAUGGCCUAUCCAGUAGCCAGGCCAGUGAUGUGGAGGACAUGUGCAACCAUGACCCCUCCAUCCCCUCCGAGAUACUCAAACAGAGGCAAAAGCAGGACAUUGAGCAGGAGCUCAAGAACAGUGACGACAAGGAACAUUCUGAGAGUCGAAAUAAGGAGAUGGAUGCUCAGGCUAUUAUGAAUGACCUGAAGGCCAAGCGCGAGGCCCUGGACAUGGCUAUUGCAGAUAUCAAGUCGGCCAUCCAGCGCAGCAAGGGUGUGGCUCUACAGUCGUCAUAUCAACAGGAGGACAGCACCAACGAACCAGUCUGGGUGAAAAGAGACCCAAACAUACAGAAAAUGCAACAGAGACAGGAAGAGAUGCGCAGAGUACGAGAAGAGAUUGAACGUCAACAAGAGGAAGAGUAUGCCAAACAGGAACAGGAAAAAGUAGAUGGUGCUGAGUGCAGUGGGUCAGAGGACACAGGUAAUGCCAGUAAUGGUGCAGAGGCCGAGGGUGAAGGUCAGGGGUCCCCUGAUGAGGAAAAACCGCGACCUGCAAUUCCAACUUUUGCUGAUGUGCGAGCUUUCUUUACUGUUUAUGAAAUGGACGAUGAGAAAGAUGGAUUACUUGACAACCAGUAUACAAACAACAAUGGGAAGGCCUAUCAGGCACCCAAAGGUUAUGAGUCUGAUGAUGAAUAUGAAGAAAUAGAGGGCAUUCGCUACACUCGCCGAAACAAAGGCAAAAAAUAUGCUCUGCUCCAAAAAGACGAUUCUUUAGAGCAUGGCAGCCCCAUGACCCUCAACAUUCGGACCAAUGGCGGGCACCAUACUAAUCAUGGCUCAGAUAUGAGCUGCAACUCCAGUUCUUUCCACCAAUCUGAAAAAAGGCAUAAUUCGGAAACUCAGUAUUCAUCUCCGGACGAGGUGGGGAGUGAUACCGAGCCCGCAUCCAAAAACGCCUACGUGAGAGAUCCCCAUGGAGACUCGGACACUGAUGAGGAGACGGACCGCUUGCUGCAGAAGCAGUAUCAGAGACGGGACCAGUAUGUGGAGAUUCCAGAACUCAGUGAACCACCUGUUAAUAGAAGUGCUCAGGCUGAGAAGCGCCGUUCGCGCGCCAAAGAAGGUGAGCAGGAGUCAUUACAUGUUCGUGAUCCGGAUAAUCCUGAAGUCUUAAUCGAGGGAGUUUUGUUCCGAGCUCGAUACCUGGGCUCCACGCAGCUCGUUUCAGAAGGCCAGCCAUCAAAAGCCAUGAGGAUGAUGCAGGCCCAGGAGGCUGUAGGGAGAAUCAAGGCCUCGACCUUGGGCAGUUUGCAUUUUGGUGAAAAAUAUCAGGCCCCUGAAGGGGAAAACCAGCCCAGCACCGACGUGGAUCUGUUUGUGUCUACUGAGAAGAUCAUGGUACUGAACACCGAUCUGCAGGAAAUUAUGAUGGACCACUCGUUAAGAACAAUAUCCUAUAUUGCGGAUAUCGGUGAUAUUCUGGUGAUAAUGGCACGACGUCGCCUCAUCACAAGCCCUGAUUCCGAAUCUCUACGUAGAAGACGACAGGCAAAGAUUCUGUGUCAUGUCUUCGAGUCGGACGAGGCCCAGCUGAUAGCCCAGUCCAUCGGGCAGGCCUUCCAGGUGGCCUACAUGGAGUUCCUGAAGGCCAAUGGCAUCGAGGACCCGGGCAUCCUGAAGGAGAUGGACUACCAGGAUGUCCUCAACCAACAGGAGAUCUAUGGGGAGGAACUCAACCUGUUCGCCAACAAGGAUUAUCACAAAGAGGUGAUAGUACCAAAGACAAAAGGUGAACCCCUGGGUGUUGUCAUCGUGGAGUCUGGUUGGGGAUCCAUGGUGCCGACAGUGGUCCUGGCCAACAUGAUGCCUACUGGUCCAGCAGCACGCUGUGGUCAGCUCAACAUUGGUGACCAGAUCAUCUCCAUCAAUGGCAUCAGUCUGGUCGGCCUGCCCCUGUCAGCAUGUCAAAAUCAGAUCAAGACGUCCAAGCCCCAGACAGUGGUCAAGCUGACCGUAGUGCCAUGUCCUCCAGUAGUGGAGGUCCUCAUCAAGCGGCCAGACGUCAAGUACCAGCUUGGCUUCAGUGUACAGAACGGAGUGAUCUGCAGUUUAUUACGUGGAGGUAUAGCUGAGAGGGGUGGUGUGAGGGUCGGACAUCGAAUCAUCGAGAUCAACAAUCAGAGUGUGGUAGCAGUACCCCAUGAGAAGAUAGUAGCACUACUAGCCAACUCUGUAGGAGAGAUCCACAUGAAGACCAUGCCUACGUCCAUCUAUCGUCUGCUGACUGGUCAAGACACGCCUCACUACUUAUAGACACAACAGUAUUGUAUGCCAAGACUUGCUUCACACGACUGUAGCCUUGUUGAAUGGAGGAGGCAACACCAUUCUAGUCAGUGUGGUCAACAGUGGUCAUUCUCCCACCAAGAACAUAGACAGCCUGAAGGUGCUGACCGCUGCUGACCAUUGUCAUUUGACUGUGAGUGGCCCACUGAUGCGUACCAUCUGGGCCAACAUACCUACAUCAAGCUCUGCUUUGAAUAAUUUGUGAAAUUGGAGAUGGGCAUCUUGUAUGAUGAGGUUCUGUGAACUUCAUCGGGCAGCAUCAGUUCCAUCUUCCCCUAUACAUCAUCUGCAGUGUGGAGAGGACUGUUAAGCAUGAUUGCCUGGUGGGUCUUCACAAUAUGCAACUGUAUAGUGUCAUGGGAAUAGCGCUGUGCUGGAAGAUACUUGGAAGGAUCUUUGAGGGUAAACAGGUUCUGUGCAUGUUCAUGAAUUUGUGACUUAUGGUGCUUUGAUUAGUAAAGGCCAAGGGAACACUACAACUAGAUCUGUGAGAAGUGAUUUGUAUGGUAGUCUGAGCAGACUGAGGUCUAACCUUGAGAGAUGGUGAGGAAGGCCAACAUUGAUGCUUUGUACUUGAGAAUAUUGCAGGGCACAGCUGUACAAUAUGGACUGUCAAGCUAUUAAGGGCAUCAUUUUCCUACUUGUUCAUUUAUACAAACCUACAACAUAUAUCCGAAAAUGUUGAAAAGUGUCAUGUUGGACAGUGUACCUCCAUGUUUGUGUUCAGUGUCAAGAAGCAGCCUGUUGGAGGCUGCAGAACAUUCCACGUGACAUUGCUGCAAGUUCUUCUUCUGCCAGUGAUAAAGGACGUGAUGAACAGUGUGUCCGUCUCCAUGGAUGUCACACAGGAGUGAUCAUCACACCAAACAUCACCCCUCAGUGUUGAAAAUAUAGCAUUUGUCAGGAGCAUAUAUAGAAUUAUUGAACUUGUGUUCAUAGAAUCUUCCCAUCUGCAGAUGCAGAUACUGUAGACUAAAUCUUGUUUGUGGAGUAUCCACUGGUCAGCAGAAACUGGCCAUCUGAUUAUGCAACUGCACACUGCGAAGAAGACUACUGGAGUCUUUCUAAGGUUGUUGAUUCUGCCCUGUAUGGUCAGUGAAGAACUCCACUGAUUGUUCUGUUGGAGUUGGUACCCAAACCUCUUGUGACUUCCCCAUCCAGGAAAACACUGUUGCUCCUCACAUUUCUGGUCAUAACCUACCUUUCACUGGUAACUGUUACAUGUGAUAUUGUUCAGUAUUCUGUGCUAGUGCUUUGUAGAAAGCUGUUGCUUUAAGGUAAGAAGUUAAUUGUGAAGUGUCAAGAAAUAUCUAAAUAGGAAAACAGGUACCCAAGAAACAUAUCGUAACUCAGUUCUCGGUCAAAUGGUAGGUACUUAUAGGUAAGGUAAUUAGAAGUGUUGAAUUUGAGCAUAUGUAACUUUCUGUUAGACGGAUUAAAGCAGACAAUUGUCUCCUACCUUGAUGCUAGAGUUACCUUCCCUGUGAAGGUUACAAAAUGUCCUGGAGGUCAUACUGUAAGAAGCAGAUUGUUGGCACCUAAUGCUGGAGUUACCUUGCCUGGUAAGAGAACACCUAGAUCUUCCACAGUUAUGUCACAUGCUAAAACUCCAGGUGUACUGUCUACUGUAGUUCUUCAUCCUGUUUAUAAGCAGCUCUUCAGCUGUGGAACAAUUUUGUACCAGUGUGUAGUGUAGUCUUGGGAGAAUCAUUUCAGUUUAGAGAGAUUGUCAAAUAUCAUUCUGUCAUGAGUAACCUCAAGGUAUCUUUGUGAAGCUUUUAUCAGAAUACUUAAACAUUAUACCUAAUUCCAAAUUUGGUUAGUUUCUAAGUAAAAACAUGUUCUCCGUAUAACGUUCUUCAUAGAUAGUGGCAUAUUGUUUCAGUUCAAGUGACGAUUGACAUAAUUAAGUUUAAUAUUUUUUUCAUUUAAGGGGAAGUGUUUAUGGUUUUCUCUUUUAAGAAGUGUUGGAAGUGGGGUUUAUGUUUCAAAACUAAAGGUUAUGGGUUUCAUUGAUCAUUUCAUUGAAUCAAAUUUUAUAAAUUUAAUGUCUUAAAAACUCAAUUUUUGUUUAUUGUGGUGUAUUUAUUCUCUGUCAAUCAAACAUUCCAAAAACUCAAAUGCCCCACCCACUUUCAUCACUUGACCAUGUUGCUCCAAUUGUCUGGAUAAACUGAGCUUUAUGUUAAUAUUGACCUCUCACCCUGUGCUCUGUCUGCAUCAGAUGCUUCUUGAUGUUUUCCUAUGAACAUCCAGAUUUAUAAGGUUUUUGAUUGGUGAGAAUGUUGCUCUUUCACCAUUGUAGUUAUAAUAUGUGUUGUUCAUGAAUUGUGAAGAGUUCAAUUGUGUACCCGGUAGUACUCACUUAAAGAUUGAACAUCUGAAUGAUAGUAUGCUCUGAUUUGAUAUUGCAUUGUAUCAGGCAGUUUACACUGUAUAUUAACCACAUUUAAUUAUGUACAGUGGGCUCUGUGUGCAGUUUGCAGUUUUUGACAAUGUUGAGUUUGAUAGCUAGCUACUGUAAAUAAUUUGUGUUGCUAGUACCUGAAGACAAGACCCAACUUAGGACUGAACCCAGAUGUGAACCUAGACCUGAACAAGGACUGAACCUUGGCUUCAGUUUUGUUAUAAAACAUGUAUGGAUUAUGAUAUAUGUGCAAUAAUAUUGUGUUGAUGUGCUUUCAUUCUCACCUCCUGACCCUGGCUCAUGUGAUCUUACUGUACAAUAUUGCCAGCACUGAACCAGUAGAUACUUAAACCCUGUCAAAAUAGACCUGGUAAACUUACAGUUCCUCCAAAUGGUUGCACACAAGCAUCUUCAUACAGACACAGUGGCAAUGAAAGACAGGAGAACCUCCUCACUUGAAAGUUGUCCUAUUUUCAACUAGGGAAAUCUAGUAUAGGAAUCCUUAUAGGAAUAAGGGUCAUCCUUUUUGAAAAAUGAGUUAGAAAGAUGGGACAGUGGUGUAAAUUAGGCAAACACUUGCCACAAGAUUUCCUUGUAGUUCAUCUCAGAAUAUUGAUAAUAUGUCUGCAUGUUGAUCUAAAAAGGUUAAGUUGACAAGUCACGUUUGAUUUAUUGAACAGUGAAGGUUCUUGAAGAUUUUUUGGCUCACAAGUUGAUUGGUGUUUCCCAAAUCUUCACCAUCUUCCAAAGGUUUAAAGAUAUUCUAGCCUGGUUCAUUUCUUUCAGAUUUUAAAGACCCAUAUAUUCCUUGUGUACCAUAUAUCAAAGAUUAAACUUUCUAUGAGAUGGAAACAUAUUUUUGUCCACAGACAGAUGGGCUUUCCUCAACAAUCCUUACUUUAGUUGCCACUGUGUAGAAGAGACAUAAUAUUCUGUGAAUCAUGAAUAAUAGUUGUAUUGUCUGUAAUAAUACAGUAUCGGAGCAAUGUAUGAUAUGUCAUUGGGUGUAACUUAAUUUGAUCCGUGUUAUAACAUGUGUAUUUACAAUCUGUAUCUUCACUAGUAUAUAAACAUAUUGAAUCAUUUGAACUCUUGAUCAAGCUUUUCACAGCUUGCCUCCAUGUGUACAAACAGAUUAGUGGAUCAGCUGGGUAUAUUACCCUUGUUUUGAAUACAUUAUCAGAGGAAUAAAUAUCCAUUUUAUUCAGAUGGAUAAUUACAUGAUAUGAUAAUGAGGACAUAUUGAAAUUGGAAUUUAAGAUAAAAAAUAGAGUAUUUGCAAUGAAGGUUUGAAGCAGUCGAGUUGGCAAAAUGAAAUCUGUAAAGGGAUUGUAUUUCCACCCAUUGUGAUAAUGUUCUGUGUGUGCGUGCAUAAUAUUGUCAUGAAGUCAGACCACAGCUUGUUGCUUACAUGACUAGAAGAAUGCAUUUGUCCUUGAAACUGUAAGUAUAUCUUCAAGGUAUAUUCCUCUUUUACUGAUGCAAAUGUAUAGCAAGCAUUGUUUGAGGAUAUUUAAUUCACUGGAACAAUUUCAAUUGUCCCUUCUUCUUGGCUAUUGAAACAACACAAAAAACACUAUGUUAUCUCAGUGCGUUCUGUUGACUAACACUUUUUUAAGUGCAUUUCAUUUCUGUGUGCAAUUGAUACAGCAAAUUAUAACAUAUUAUUUAUUAGAAAGUGAUAAAUGUUGAAAGAAUUGUACUGAUAUUGGAAUAUGCUGUUGAAAAUGAUAUUCAUGUUGUGUCUAUGUUGUGGUCCAAGGGAGAUAACUCCCAACCUCAAUGUUCUAUAGAUGUUGAAGUCUUCAUGUCCGAAAUAAUGUGCUGCUUUCAUGGAAGCAGGCAUAAAAGACUACACAAAUUGUUGAUAGUUUUCAAGUUGAAUUUGGUUAUUUAUUCUUGUGUCUUAAGAUAUAUGGGAGUGUCUGAAGACUGAGUUAUUGAAAACAUCUCUGAAACAAACAUGUUUGUUUCCUGUUAGUGGUUUCUUGUUUUGAAAACAGGUGUUGUCCAGUUUCAUAGAAUAUUCCUCACAAACUGAACUGAUUCAGGUGUUAAUUUGAAUGGAUUUACCAUUUACAACAGGAGCUAAUAGUCACAUAAGUCUCAACACCCAUUUUUCUCUUUCGACAAUGUGAUUUUUUGUCCCGCAUCUUACACAACCUCAUCUUUGCUUUCAUAGUAUAAAAUGUGAAGUCUUGGCAGAUUUGUUCUGAAAGAUUUGACAUGUACAUGCUCCAUGUGAACCAACUGUGCAUCUGUCUCCCCCCUGUAAUGAUGGGUGUUCUCCACCCACACCUAAACAGUGACUUUGUGAAACCACCCUCCCAGUGUCCCUCCUUCUCCAACUGUUGUGCUUGCUCUCUACGUUCUGUGAUUCUGUAUGCCUGUAUGAUAUGAAAGACUGUAAGCCAUUAUAUAUGUAUUAUCUGUGCUACUCUCGGAUAUGAAAGAAUUGAAUAAAACAUAUUUAAUGUAA
rnacentral:misc_RNA from 1 species